rnacentral:rRNA from 1 species
AGUUACCAGCACGUUAUGGUGGGCACUCUAAGGAGAACUGCCGGGUGGACAAACCGGAGGAAGGUGGGGAUGACGUCAAGUCAUCAUGGCCCUUACGGCCUGGGCUACACACGUGCUACAAUGGUCGGUACAAAGGGUUGCCAAGCCGCGAGGUGGAGCUAAUACCCAUAAAACCGAUCGUAGUCCGGAUCGCAGUCUGCAACUCGACUGCGUGAAGUCGGAAUCGCUAGUAAUCGUGAAUCAGAAUGUCACGGUGAAUACGUUCCCGGGCCUU